AAAGAUAAAACCGUGUAGCCCAUAGUCCAAAGUGGAUAACACCUCAUUGGCCCCGUGCUCAGGUCUGACAAACAAGGCAACUUGUCAACAUGGAUACCAUAUAGCACUGUUCCACUCGAUGAUUAAAGGGUACACUAAAACCCCCUCAUAUACCAUUUGUGGCUAAAUAUUAGACUUAAGCAAUCUCAAUAUAAGGAAUCCACAAUAAACAUCAAUAGUGAAAUUCACUAAUCCUUACCAAAUCCAAUUUUCUUCUCCUAGAAAAAUUGGCCCAUCUAGGGAGACUACCAGCGUGCAUGCCUUUUGACAUGCCUCUUCACCGACGUUACUAAUAAAGCAUAUUUGAUGGUAAUUCUUACCCAGCAAGUACAUUGGAUAGUGAUCUAAUCAUCCUGUCAGUUCCAUCAUAUGGCAGCACAACAAAGUAUAUGAUAAAUUUACCCAGUGAAUAGCUCUCAGACGUCAGAAGUAUCUGUGGCUAGAAUAAGAUUUGAGUUUAAAGGUGUAGACUAUGAGCAAAAGGGUUGAAUGUCCAGUGUCGGAUGACAAAAUUUUCUACAUAGACUCGGGUAUAUACAUAUUCUUGAAAAUUUUCACCAUAAGUAACUAACCACAAUAAGCAUUAUUGCAGAUGAGAACUUUAUUAAUAGUUCUCCAAAUAGUCUUGCUUCAGAAAAAAAUUCAGAAAAUAACCUGCUGAAAAUCAAAUCAUAGAUCGAGCUUCUGAAGUGGAAAUAGAUGGACUUGUCUUUAUGAACAUAGUAAAGGCCAGGUGAAACAGAUACAUAGGCCACUUUGGCCUCAUAACUAAUAAAGCAAUUUGGCCCAUCUUACAUAUGAUGCUCUUAAAUCAUGACGAAGGACUUUGUUUUUUAGAAUGCUCAACCAUGCAAUGAGCCAUGAGGUGACAAGUUUGUAGGGGAGAGAACAAUGUGCGGAUGGAAGUUUGUUCUCCCUCUUUCUUCCUUUUCUCUUUCAAUUGUAAAGCCAGUAUCAAAAUGGUGACAUGUGGAUGGUGCAUACUCAUCCAGUUGACAUAAGACAUGGCAUCAACAACUUAAUUUUCCAUAAAAACUUCAUCUAAUUAUCAUGGAAGGAUCUCAUAUCACUCCUGCUUGUAAAGAGAAGUUGAUAAAUGCCGACAAAUGACUUGAAAUCAGCAUGAGUAGUGCCAUCAAAAUUAAAAUCCUUGAUCACCAGUACCUAAUAAUGAUGUAAAGAAUUAGGUGAACAGAUAAAUUCCAAUGGUUAUUAUCCCGUGCUUGUUUACAGCAAAUGAGGCCAAACUUGGGCUGAGGAAGAAUUGGCUGCUCUUGUCAUUGUGAUUAAAGAUUGGCUUCCUAUGGUCAGAUGCUCUAAUUCGGUCAUAUGCUGUAAUUCAUAAUCAUUUGAAUUUUUCCCAAAGAUCUACAAAAUUAACUUACAAUAAAUAAAUAAGAUUUCCCAAGAAAAGAAGGGCCGAUAUGUACUCUUUUGCAGUCAAUUUGAUAUGACAGAUCACUGGGUUCAAAUAGAUGGAAAGCAGCAUUCCAGUGGCUGAACCUUUGAUCACAACGCAGCAUCAACAUCACAUUGAUGUUGAGAUUCAGAAUUAACUUAAACAAACUACACACCAGACAUCUCCUAAUGGAGCUAACGUCAUAUCUUGCUGCUAGAUAUUUAGACAAGUUAUAACAAUGUGACAUCUAGAGAUUAAAGUUAAUGUAACAAUCUCAUCAUGAAGUUUUUUCUUUUUUAUGUCAUCAUGAAAUUAGAAAAGAUAAAAUAAUUAUUGUUAGUAUCAUAAGAAAAGGUGGAGCAAGACCUAAACAGUUCUUAAUAGAAACUAUAAAUAAAGACUUAAAUAUUCUUAACUAAAUACAUGAAUUUUUACGGAUCCCAAUGAUGGGAAAAGAUUCAUAUAGCCAACCCCAAAUAGUUGGGACUUAUUGCUUUGUUGUUAGUGUUGUUGCUGGUUGAUGCUGUAACUUCUAAAAUUAUGAUCUAAUUAAUUCUAAUUAAUUCUUUUCAUUAUCUUGAAAUGCUACAUUAUACUAUAUAACUAUAAAACACAAAUAUGAUAAGUGUUUGCAGUAAGUGUUUGCAGAGCUCUCAUAGAAGACUACUUACUAGCAUUUCCUCGCAGUCAGCAAUGAAGUAAUCUGGAGAAAGUUUUGCCUUCUCUAAGAAUUGUUCCUGCACUGGAUAGUUGUAAAAUUAAAAACUAACAUUGUUCAUAACCAUAUCUGCAAUCAGUGCUGGUUGUUAAGUAAUUAAAUCAAAUGUACUUGAACAACAUAUUAACAAAGGAAGUUAAUAAGAAUAUAUCAAUCACAGUUAUGGAUAAAUCCCCGGUUAAAAAAAAAACUUUUCUCUUAUUGUCCCAGAGUUACAAAUUAUUACAUGAAUUAGGGAGCAUGACAUUUCACAACUAAUUAACAGUGAAAACUAAAAGGAGAUGGCUUUAGCUAGAAAUUCAGCUGGUUGAACAAACGAAAACUUCAUCAUUCUUUGAGCUAGAUAACAUGACAUCCAAGCAUCAUAAUUUAUUUUACAAGGCAACAACUACUGAGAUCAAACCAUUACAGGAAGUGUCACUUGGAAGAUGCAAAGAAACAUGUAUAACUACUCUCAACAAGUAAAAGCAAACAAGAAAGAAAAAUAAAUAAAUAUAUCUUAGUGGAAAUCUUAUAACUGCACAGGGAAACUUAUUAUGUUUUGACUGAAACUUAUAUUGUUGCUCACAGCUUCAUAAACCAUCAUAACUACAUGAAUUUAUUCACACUAAUUCUUAAAUUUCCCAAACAACAAUACUGAUAAAAAAUAAAACAACAAAAUUUCUGAAGCAUUUAUUUCAACUAGACCAUGCUGCAAAAUAAUCCAUACUUGAAUUGCAGCUAUGUGCCCUGCUGUAAUGCCUAUGGAUUCAGAGAAUCUACCAUAAACCAAUUUCCUGAACCCCUCAUCCAAACCCUAAAAGGUACCAAGAGACAAAAAUGCUGAGACUCGAGAACUUUACAUACCAGUAUGCCAUGGAAGCCCAUUCUUGAAUGUAAUCGUGAGUAUAAAGACAAAAGAUCAAAUGUUGGAAACAGUCCAGCACGCUGCAGAACAAAAGACAACCUCUAAUUAAAUUAACAACCAUACAAGAUAUCAAUGAUAUUACUAAAUACUACUCAAUAGGUGAUGUAUAAAAUCACCAAGUCAAAGUUAUUCCACACCAUUUUCUAAUGGAUCAACCUUUUUGGGUUUUUCCCCUUAGUUUGUCCUGACUUUGCCCAUUUUCCUUCCACAUGUUAGUUUAAAUCCCAUUGUGCCCAACACCUAUGGGGUCAUUUGCUUACCGUCCAUUUCAGUUAGUAAAAACAAGGCAUUGGGAUUCUAAAUAAAAGACCUAAUUCAGAAUGGCAAAAUUUUUGCAAAAUAUGCUUUUGUAAAAGAUAGUUUUAAUAGUUACUAAUUUAAGUUCAACCAUCAAGGCUCAGAUUUUUUUCCCUAUGAAGGAAGCAAAACUUGUGGUUCUAGGUUCUAACCAAUCAAUACAAGCAGACAUAUUAACAAUAUAAGUUAGGUCCAUUUCAAGAAAUCUUGACCAUGGGCAUGUCAGGUUCAUUUCAGCCUUAGGUACCCGUAGGUCCCGUACUAAUCCAAUUCAUUAACCCAGCUGGUUGACACUCAUGCACAUGAUUCUAGUAUCUUAUUAUGGAACUCAUCAUAACCCACAUGCUCUUGAUGCAAUUCCUAAGAACACACACACGAGAAAGAAAUAACAUUUAGAUGACUGUCAUAUGCAAUCUUUUCCGAAAAAUUAGCUUUGAAUUUUAAAGUCUAAAACUCAUUGAAUAAACAAAUGCCAAUACCAGACAAAGAAUAUUUAUGUAAAUUAUCCCAAUACCAAAAAAAAGACAUCUAUUCCAAUAUGACACCUCUAGCAUGAGGUUUCAGCUUACAUGAGGAAGCCGCAUUUUUAUAAUCAGAAAUGAUACACUACAUAAGCUUUUCCAAGAAUAAAUGAAAUUAAGAUGCAAUCAGAAAUGACAACAUUAGAAUGCAUGCACAUACACAUAAGAUAUCAGAAAGAACACUCCUAAAAGUUGCCAUGGCAGUUUAAAGUCCCAACAUUUUAGGCUGAUUUAAAAAACUAUGGCGAAAAGAAUUACCUCUAAAAGAGGAGAAGAAGAUUCCAAAGAUGAAUGGAGCAAAGGUAAAUCUUCAGCAUCGAUGCAGGUCACUUCACCACUAGAAAAUUUUGAACCAUACCUUCCAGCCCUCCCUAAAACAAGUAACUCAAUAUGUCAUGAAAUGCAUUAGGCACAUUAAACAAAAGAGCUACACAUAUUUUGAGAUAUAGUCUUUUAGGAAAUUAAGCCAUUAAUGAUGGAUGUUGCCAACAGAUUCAUCAAGUUGCAAACAGACAUGUUUUGAAAUCAACAAGUCAAUACAUUCACAUGUAGGCAGUAAUAUGGGAAGCUGCAACAAUUAUAUAAAAUAAUUGACUGGUUCAGAUGAGCCAUUAAGAAGUGUGGAUCACAUGGCAAGCAAGUAACCCUACUGGAGGCUGUGAUCAAAGUUCAGGUGUCAAUGAGAUGAUGACACAUAUACUAGCAAUUGAAUUCUCCAAACACAUCUGAGGAUAUCAUAUUCAAAAUCCAAAUAAUCUGAUUUGUACAAGAUGGAUGCCAAUCAUAUUCCUAGAAUAACAUCUUUUAACAAUUUUCUUUACUUUACUGACACCUCUUCUCAUUUGCUAUAUGAUGAUGGUCUUUUUUGUCAACCUACUGAGUUGCAUGAAAGGAGCUGAUCUCACCUUCACACUCUGCCUAAAACUACCCCUCAGAGAUGAGAAGCUUGGAGUGUGAAUUGACGUGAGAACUUUUUUCUGCAACCACAGAAGGAAAGCACCAGGAAUAUGCCUAGUGUGACACCCCUCUAACCAAUGAUUUAAAUAGAUGCUUGGGAGCUCGCCUAAGCGCUCGGGUGAGGCGAGGCGAGGCCUGAGCGCCUCAUGUGUGGAUCAGGCGGUGCGCUUCAAUGAGGCGCUACCUGGGCGCUUGCUCGAACCCAGGCACUGGGAGCUUCGGUCAAGCGCCCAGUUCAAUUAAGCGAACCGAACCGAUUUAAGUCUGAUUCGAUUUGUAGUUUCUUACCUCAAAAGCCAUGCUUCACACUUGCGCGACCCCGAGGAACCCUAGCGUUGCUCCUGCCUUUGCCGCUGACACUUUCUACCAUUGCCUUCGCCGCAGAUGCAGCAAACUGAGCCUUCCUAUGUUGUAGACGGACAAGUUCGACGACACCCGUAGCUUCCUUCCAUUGUCGAGAGAGAGGACCGCAGGUUCCUCCGCCAUCAACGGACGCCCUUUGGAGCUUACGUCGCUGCCGCUGCUACUGUCUGCAACUUUCAUCACUGUCGCUGCUACUGUCCGCAGCUUCCGUCGUUGCCACCACUACUGUUCGCAGCUUUCACCACUGUGACUGCUGCUGUCCGCAACUUCCCUCACUGCCGCUGCUACUGUCCACGGCUACCGCCACUAUCGUUGUUGUCGUUCGCAGCGCUGCCACAACUAUCUUAAACUAAUCCUCCACCGCUGCUACUAUCUCCCUCUGUUACUGCUAACAUUUUUUUCUCUCCCUUCUAACUUUAAGUAAUAUACUGUUAACAAUAUAUGUUUAAUUUAAUAUCAUAUUUUUAUUUAAAUAAUUAUAUUUUAAAUUAUAUUAUAUAUUUUUAUAUUUUAAUGAAUAUUUUUUUCUUUCCCUCUAACUUAAGUAAUAUACUGUUAAUAGUGUAUUUUUAAUUUAAUAUCAUAUUUUUAUUUAAAUAAUUAUAUUUUUAGUUAUAUUAUAUAUUUUUUAUAUUUUUAUAUUUUAGAGUGCCUCGUUUCACUCAGGCGAGCGCUUAGUGCUUUUUAAAUCACUAUCUCUAAUAUUAUAAGAUGAUGAAGAGAGAGAGAAGAAAGCCGAAGAAUGAUCAAGAUAACUAGAAUGCCUUACAUAUGCACCAAUUUAAAGCAGGGCUCCUCUUUUGACCUCCCCUAUGUGAGUCAGAGCAGCCUCUAUUGACAUAUUUCCUUCUGCCCAGAUUAUUUCCACCAAGCUCACAUGGGAGAUGGUCCAAAAGUAGUGUGGUGGAGCCACUCAAUGGUUGUUGGCUGACCUGGCCAUCGUCCAGGUGUGUUUAUCCUUAAAAUUAACAAGAUUUACUGGAACUUUGCUUCUUCCUUAAAAUUAACAUAGGCAUGUGAGCCAUUUCUAUAAGUUAAAGAUGGAGGAGAUUCUUUCACUGACUACCUGGCCUUGCACAGCCACCUGCUAACUUUGCAGAAGCACCACCGAGAACAGCAAUCACCUCUACCAGUGACACUUUAUUAAAGGAAUCUAUGCCAAUACAUCCUGCAAGCUCAAUUCACCCCCUAUCUCCAUGUGAAUAAUCAAGAAGAUCAAAAUGGUUAGACAUUGUGGUUGGAACUAGCCGCCACAUGCUAGUGUAUCAAAGAAUUAAACAUCAUCAACAAAAGAAUCAACCUCCAUAGCAAAAUGUACUAAUACCAAAUCACUGAGGUUGUUCCUUCAGACAAAGGACCACCCACCAUAAUAAUGUCAUAUUCAUAAGCUCCCUCUCUUAUCUACACUGUCUGCCAAUUAUGACCUUUCUCUCCAAUUAUACUCCUCUCUUCUACCUCUAUUUCUUCGGAAGAGAAUUUACAGCUUCAUACAUUCUCUUGAGAUAUUGGAUCAAAUGGGACAGUGUCCAUUAAUCUGCAAACACAAGUCCCUCCAAUCUCUAAAGGUUCUUUUGUCCAUUAUCCUGAUUCCACAGCCACUAGCAUGGGAGGGUGUAACUUCCAAUAACUCUUACAUGGUGCAUUUACUUGAUUAGAGAACUGAUGAAUAUAAGGCUUCCAAUAUUCCAGGCAUUAUCACCAACCUAAUGCUAUUCAGCUAAAGCAUAUUUUCCCUAGACCUUCUGGUAAAAAUUCCACAUUUAAUAUUCUUGGUUGAUAAGCAAGAUACAAAAGCACAUACUAAACAGUAAAUAUCAUGUAAUCACUUCAAUAAAUGCUGGAAACAAUUCUGUGUAUUAUACUAAAAUACUAGCAUAACCAAACUAUUUCCUUUCAAUUUGCCAUGUUAUGCUUGGAUGAAAAUACAGUCAUUAUUAUCUCAGAACUAAAAUGAAUAUCAAAAACUAGAUAAUAAGUGAUACCUGCAAUCUGCUUGAUUUCUGGGACUGUGAGUUCUCGGGUAUAUUGACCAUCAAACUUCUUCAGAGUUGAAAAGAUGAUCCUAGAUAUGUUGAGAUUGAGACCCAUUCCAAUGGCAUCACUCGCUACAAGAAUGUCAAACUUGCUGCUUUCAUCAUUGAACAUCUUUGCCUGCAAGCUUCAAGCAUUUCAAUUCGUUGGUAACAAAUAGAACCAACAACUAAACACAAUAAAUAGAUACACUAUGCAAUGAACAUCUUUGCCUGCAAGGUUCAAGCAUUUCAAAUGGCUGAAAUCAAAUAGCACCAGCAACUAAACACAAUAUGUAGAAACAUUAUGUGAUGUGGUAAAAUGUUGUUCAAAUGACACUUAUGUCUGCCAUCAAGAUUGUCUUAUGAAUAUCAGUAUCCAAAAAUUCAUAACUUUCAUGGUAUAAAUCUUUUAGGUAUAAGUCAGGUCCUGAUAUAAGCAAGAAUUUAGCAUAUCUUACCAUGACAUGAUUAUUUAACAUAAAGGAGGAAGGUCAAAGAAAAGCAGGAUUAGCAAAACUAGAGUGAAUGAAAUAAUGUAUAUCACAUUCUUUAGGUUCACUUGAAGAAUGGCAAUUUUUAUUUUUGUUUUGUUAUAAUUCCUCACAGCUAGAUGACCUAUUUCUGUUUGAAGGAUAGUGUUUAAUAUGGAAUUGGAUAUUUUAAUUAUUUGCUAAAACUUUUGUUUAGUUGAAUGCUUAAAGAGGACACCAGUCAGCUCUUAGAUCAAGUAGAUAAUACACUCCUUGAGCUGAAGGCAGUGAACUAGAAUCAGGCCACUGAGUUCUGGUUUGCUGCAUCAUGUUAUCUGAUAACAUGCCAAGCUAUGAGCAAAGGCAUGUUAGCAACAAUAUACAUGUGAAGAACCCAUAAGGAAAGUUAGCUCUAUGAACACCAAAUGUAAGUAUGCAUCCUUGUUUCAUGCCAAUGACCUUAGUUAUGGAAUUUUGGGAAAAAAGAAGCUCAAGCUAAGCAGAAAAAGUUCGAGAGGCUUGUGAUAAUUUUCAAGAAACCAUACAAAAAUAAACAAACAUGUCAAAAGAAGUACUGGUUUCAAGUGUAUAUUCUUUUUAACAAGUUAACUAGAAUAUGGCACUGCAUUUACCAUGACACUUUUUUGCUAUUUAAACAAAGACAUGUUGUUCAGGUCAUAUGGCAAGCAUUAAAAGUAAGGACAGCCCACCUGUUUUGUUCUAGUCUCUGGUGGCAGUGAGCCAUAGACUACAGAACAGAGAUGUUUCCCUCCAGACUCUACUUUCUUCUACAUACCAAUAAAAAAGGUGGAGAAUGAGAGAGAGUGUAAUAGAACACAUAUAGAUAAAUGUGAUACUGCAUUGUACUUUCAUUAUACAUAUAGUGUUGUCUUCCCGAAAAAUAUAUGAAAAAAAGAGAAAUGAAUAAUAUUGCAGAACAUUUCUGUAGUUAAUAAGUUGAUUAGAAAAUGUAAACACUUAAUAUGAACUUGCAAAAGUCAUCUUCCGGUGCAUUAAUAAUAAGCAUAUACAUCAGGUAUUAAAAAGAGGAACACCUAAAAUGACUAUUAGAGCAAUAAAUAAACAAUUUGGUGGUUCUUAUCCCACUAAAAUUCAAAUGACGGUAAACAGAUGCAUGUAGCUUAUCCCAAACAAUUAAAUGUUAUGCUUGUGGACCUUGUGGUAGUAUAAUGCAUUAGUUGCAAUAUGUUAUGAUUAACCAGAAUGCUUCUGAUGUUGCGUUCAACAGAGUUCAAUCACAGUAAAAAGAUAAAUACGUAGGAUCUUACACUCAUUGUUAUAUGAUGAAUAAGUUGCAAUAUUUUAUGAUGAAUCAAUUUAGUUAAACAACAUAUACCAUGCUUUUGGAUUAAAAAUUAAAUCUGGCGAAUGAUGUAAAUAAGACCAUAUAUCAAGGUGUGCAAAACCACCCAAGUGCUUAAAUAAUUUAAUUAUUUGGAAAGUAUAGCAAAAUAUGCAUAAAAAAUGCUCUAAACAUCCUAGUUUAUCAACUUGAAUGCAAGGCACAAGUUAAAGAAAACAACCUAAUUGUGCUGAACUUGUAAUAUUAUGGUUGAUAUAGUUACCUUCUAUUGCACAAAAAAUAAAUAGUUAUUAAAAAUUUAAAGGUGACCUUUAGCUUAUAUAUCUCGCGUCGUGAGAAAGUCACAAUACAAUCACCAUUUCUGAUGUUGGAGAAAGAACCAAGCGGAAAUUUCAAAGGAGUCAGUGGAGACAACCUCUCAUAAUAUUGAACCUGAGCAUAGAUGAGGAAAAAAAUUGUAAUCUAUCAAAGAAGUUACAUACACCCUAAGAAAUCUGCAAAAUCAGUAAAUAUUUAAAUGAUGCUGGUAAAGGUAUAUUUAAGCAUACUAUUUUGGUUUAAUUGAUAUAAUAUUGACAAAGGACUAGAAUGUCAACUGCAUUGUGAUUCAUUACAGUGAGGAAGAAAAAGGAUAAAUAGUUUGAGCAAAUAAUACAACUGAUACAGUGGUUAUAAGGGCACACAAAGUACAAGCAACAAAUAAUGAACGGACUUCUCAAGUACCCCAUAGACUAGCAGCAUCCAUACUCAAGAAGUCAAACAGAAAUGGAGAACAUGAAGGAUUGGGUGCAUUUCUUUUCAUUGCUGAAAUUUCCUGAUUACAUAAAUUGUUUAAUAAUUUGAAUAGGUAAUUUCUCUUCAGUGGACAAACCUUGGUGCCUCAAUGAAGUUCAACUUCAGAAGUUGUUCCUAAAUGACCAUAGUACCCAGGAUUCAUAUCUAGUAACAACCUCUUUGCUUGCAGGGGUAAGGCUACAUAUAUUGGUCUUCCCAAUACCUUGCAUUGGCAGAGCAUAUGCAAGGCAGAGCCUCAUAUGCUACAUCCUUAGUUCACUUCAAUGAGAAUACUGAUUAAGUAAACAAUUCCAAAUAAUGCCUAGUGGUGUGGCAUGAGUAGUAUAAUUAGUAAACAUCAAACACGAUGAACAGUUAAGACGGUUAAAAGGAUGAGAUCUUGUAUAUCAAGAAAUUUCAACUGAAAACAAAGAGAUGGUAAAUAAUCUAAUAACACCCAUGAACUAGAUCUUAGAUUUGAUUACUAUCAACUCUUUCUGAAGAAGUAGCAAGAAAUAUUAUGGUGUUUCAAUUCCAAAGUGAACCUGGAUUCCCAAUCAUAACAAUUCACUUGCUAAAUCUCAAAACACCAAAUUUUCCACAACAAUCAUUAAAAUGAAAAUGUUACAUCUACAUCUAUUUUAUAUAAAUAGAAUAUACUGACUUAGAGUCAAAAUUAAUCUUGGGAGGACAUCUGCAACACACACAAACUAGAAGGGUUAAACAUGCAGUUAAAAGUUAAAACCUUCAAUGCUAUGACCAUAAAGCAUAUGAAAUUCGUUAGGCGAAAUGAGAUCAUCAACUAUAAUACUAAGCAUACCAUUUAUCUGUGGUAUAAGGUAUCUAAUAGCUAAGUAUCUAAUUAUAUUAAACAACUAAAUAACCUUUAUCACAUCGCCAGUCACUUCAAUUAUUCUUUGAACAAGAGGAACUGCUGCAGGAUCUCCACAGAGAUGAAGUUCAUCAGCAGAAAUCCCUAAUAGUGCACGCGUAAAUGAAAAUCCCCUUGUUCUACACCCCACCAUCUAAAAUACCAAAGUAAAAGAUUAAAUUAAACAAAAGUCAAAUAUAGCAUAUAAGAACAACUAAUUUCUUCUUAUGAUUGUAAAACCCAACCAACAAAAAAAUACUAGGAAUCUUAUAAAACAACUAAAAAUUUUCUACUGAUCCUGAUUACAUUUACAUGAAAAUGAUAUUUCAUCGACAAUAACAAACACAAUAGUUUCUUUCAUAUUAACAAAGGCUGAAGAGAUCAAACAGAAAAAAAAUGAACUUUCACUAAUAAGUUAUGUUUAAGCUGUAAGAGAAAAUACCAAAGCGUCAAACUCUACAUCAUGCUGACUUUCUGUAGGAGUUUUAUGUGCCAAUUGCAAGCUCCAUUGGCUUGCAUGGCUCAGUGUUAUAGACACUAACAUGGACCCAACUAAGCUUAUCAAUAGAUCCUGGAAGAUGACAAGGUGCAUGUUAGUCUAACAUAGCAUGGCAUGACUCCACACACAUUAUUCAGACCUUUGAUAAGCACGAACAUAAGAAAUUUUAAAAAAUAUGGCUAAUCAUGAUUUGGAUUAACUAAUCUGAAUUGGGAUACAUAAAAACUUAUUCUAAUUUGUCCAUUUUUUUAACCUCAUCAAUUUGAGACCAAAUUUGGCCAUCCAAGGUGGGUUAAACCAAGAUUUAGCAAUUUAUAUAUCAGGGGCCAUCAUAGGAAAGCAUCUUACAUAUGUUUAUUGUUUAAAAACAGAAAUAUAUUAUUAUGGGCAUCAAAUAGAUCCACAAUUUUGUAAUUAACUUUUAUAUUUGUAUUUUUUUGUCAAAUAUUUCAAAAAAAGGUCAGCUGAUUAAAUUUUAAUAUUUACUAAUCGUUAGCUGCUCUGAUUGGACCUCUGGAUCACUUAAACUGGCCAAUGUGGAUAUUAUUAAUGAUAAGUCUCGAUCCUAUUCACAAUAUGUAGCCCUUGAUGACAAACCAAUCGAUUACAUAUCUUAGUAUAUAGCCCUCAGAUAUUGAUAGUUAUUCUGGAAUCUAAACUAGAAGCCUAUAAUAAGCAAUAAAAAUAUUAGCCAAGAUCAAGGUUCGCCUUAUCGGUCCAUACCGGUAUACCGACAUAUGGUACAUGAGGACAUACCAAUAUAUUGCCUGUACCGAUUCCCUAUUAGACCACAUGUACCACUCAUACUGAGCAGUACGCCAUGAUAUGGUGAACCUUGCCUAAGAUGAUAGUAAUGGUAAAGAUAGUAUAUAAAUCCAGAAAUUUGAUGCAAAAGAGUGUCCUCAUGCUUUUAAGUUAAAAAUAACUAGAAAUUGCAACACACACCUGGAUUUCAUCAACAACAGCACACUGAUAUUCACUGGUUACAUCAGCCAUUUCAACAGUUACUGAGCUGUGCCUAGCACCAUCAAUGUCCUCUCUUUCUUGUCCAGUAAUCAGAUUACAAGGAACAUUUGCUUUAUUUAACCUUUGUGCCACCUCCCAUGCCAAUAACCUUAGAGGUCCACAAUAUACUCCUUCAACAAAUUACAAUUCUAUAUAAAUUUAGUUUCAGUGCACACGAACAUAUAAUUUAAACAGAAAAUAAGAUUAUAGCACCUGAGGAGCUUGAUUCUAAACACUUGAGAGCAUUAUGAGUUUUCCCACUAUUUGUAGGUCCAACGUGCAAAAAUAUAUUCCGUUUCUUUCUCCGAGCAAGCGGAUACCAUGUAUGAGGAUGACUGCAAUCAAGUACAUAUUCAGGGAUGAUACUUCCUGUCUAAGAAUGCUUAAUAAUAUAGGUAUUAAGUCACACAAACAUGAAAGAAACAUAUCAAUGCUGGCCCAUUAUGUUGAAUUAGUUCCAGUAAGUAACCACGUUAAGUUUGUUCCACUAGAACAUGGGUGGCAAGGGGUCGAGAUAGAACAGCCUUGCUAAAUACAUCAAUGGAACUCUGUACAUUUAACCCUCCCCAAGACCUAUAUUAGCAGAAAGAAUUUUCAUGUACCAUGCCACCAUUUCUUGGUUCAGAUGCAUCCAAAAUGUUUCAUUCAUUGAUUCUGUGCAAAGCUGUUUUACCUCCACAAUAUAUGCUAGAUAAAGUGCCAUAAAUAUCCCUAUUAUGUCAACUGAUACCAAACCUAGACCAGGAAUUUCCUAGCUAUGCAGAUGUGUCUAAGCAGAAAGGACAACAACUAAAAGUUGUAUGGAACCAUGAACGAGCAUCCUAAACACACAACCUUACUAUAUGUUUAGAAUGUAGGUACUGAAACUCAUGAGCUAUAUGCAAUACUGACGCAUCCUGAUGUUUUAUGUUCAAAAUCAAAAGGUCAAGCACUGCAUCCUGAGAAAAAUAAAAUGGGUAAUGAAGUGGUCUACAUCUUGUACAAUAUCUUUCUUAAAACAUGGUAGCUAUGCCACAAAAGGUAAACAAACUAUGUAUUAUUGCACAGACACAAACAAAGUGCUAUGCUACAAGUACAAUGAAUGUUGGAAGAAAAUAGGAGAAUGUUACUGAAUGCAGCACAAUAAAGUGAACAAAGAACAUAGAGAAUAGCAGAAUGGAAAAAUAAAACUCAGAAGCUUAACAACAGAUACCCAAUUUUUGUUGGUCUUUUUGGCUAACCUUUAGCUUCUAAACAACACAGACUGAAUGUAGUUAAAAAAUUCUUGACCUUCAUGAGGAGAAACCAAAAAUUAAGAGCACAAGAUGGAACAAACUCUAUCAUAUACAAAGUUGAACUAUGUUUAGAUAAUAAAAGGACCUAAGAUUCUUUAAAUUAUCUAAAAUCCAAAGUCUCACGCCUAUCCAGUAAGUUGUAAACCAGGCCAAAUUAUUUCUAUAAAAUAGAUUCUACAUCAAGAAUAGAAUAUGUUCUUUGGGAGUUUAAACACACACCUAUAACAGCUAACAACUUUCAGAAUAAAUUCUAGCAAGGACACUAACAUUGAGAAGUACAAUAAUCAAGUAGACAAAAGAUGACAAAAUGAAAAUUUGUUCAAGUAUAUCAGUGGGAAACUAAUAAACAGAGAAAUGGGGAACAAGGAAUCCACGGUCAUGUGGAGAACAAAGAAAAUUUAGCAACAUUAGAAGCUACAAGGAAAAUCUAGAAAGCAUCCGAAUUGCAACAUGCUGUAUUCAGUAGGAACAAUUAGCUAAAAAUCUUGUAAAACUGAACCUACAUAUGGCUGCAAGUCCACAAGGCUAGUCAUGGAGAAUAAACAAGUACAAAAGGCAACUGAAGUGAACUAGACAAUAGGGGCGGUAGGAUCAUGAGAUUGUGCCUCACUCAAUAACAAAAUAAAACUGAAAUUCACAUAAAAAACUUGCUGAAAAUUUUCCAAUAAUGCUAAACAUGCAGAAAAUUCUUACGUCAAGUCAGUCAAGUCAAACUUCCCUGAGCUCUGGAAACUGCUCAAACACCUCAAACCAGAAAAAGCAUGUAAACGUAAUUGGAAAUCCAACUUCAGGAAAAUAGAGCAAGACAUGCUAUCUGCAAAAUACAUACCAUAUUCAACUAAAAUAAUUCAUAACCUUGCAAUUUAGCUACAAACUAAAGCCUAAGAUACUUCCGUUCUCAAGAAAAUAAGGAGAUUAUUAUAUCUACAACAACAGCAACAAUAACACCAAUGCCAAACCCAAGGCUGAAUGAAAAAAUGGUCAGAUUUCAUUAGGCCACCCAGUGUGGAACUGUUCCAGAACUAACAAGAACAAAAUCAUUUUUUAGGGUAAAAAAUUGACUAUAAAAAUAUUUUUAAAAUGUUCCAAGCAUCUUCAACGGCCAAAAUAAGAAAAUUUACACCUCUAGAUACAGAAUAACCUAUACAAAAUUCGAAGAAUAUUCUUACUCAGUUUUUAUAUAUCAAAUUUAUCAUAAGAACUUAAUUAGGUUAAAUGGAAAAGUUAUAUUGGUAUUUGGAACAUGUGUUCUAUUGACAAAAGCAGAAUGUUUGGCAAAACACAGUGCAUAGACAAAAAAAAAAACAUGAAGACUUCAUUACUUGGACCAAAGAGAAUCCUUCCAAUUGACAUCAAACUACACAUAGCCUACCAUGCUGGAUGCAUGUAUCAUAGAAACGUCUGGGGCAGCUGACUGUAGAAACAUGACAUGAAUCUGAUUUGGCUGUAAUAGCUUGCCAACUAAUGAAUAUAUGAUAAUGAACAAUCUUAUGUUGUAGGUCAUCACAAAGAUGUUGAGUCUUCAUCAUUUUCAAAUUGGGAUGGUCCACCAAAUCCUUUUUCCUUAGAAUUGGAUUGAUUGCCGUAGUCUUCCUUGUCAAUGGUUCCCUACUCAUCAUAUGUUGGGAAGGUUUGCCUUUUGAUAAAUGUGUCAACAUAUUCUUAUCAUCUAAAAUUCUGUUAGAAACAGAACCUUUUAAAUAGUUUCCCUUAUUACCUAAUUCAGGGAAACAAAUUUAGAAGAAGUUUUUUUAGCUUACCCCACCUGCGGUGAAGAUUCCAGUGUAGCUUUUAUUACUACAUUGUAAGGGCAACAGGAUCUGUUGGUGGCCGUCAUUCACCUCCUUCCUCAAAAGAAAGCUCGGUAUCAUUCCCAGCUGCGCUUUCUUAUAAAUAUGGGUAAUCAGGCAAAGCUACUAACAUGUGUUAAGAAACGUUGUCCCAUACAAAUCAGUACUCAUCGAGUUCGUUAUCUAUUACAUUGCCCAGUGGAACUAAUUGGAGCAUUUGAACCUAAUAACUCAAAUCACAAAAAAUAAAAAAUAAAAAAACCCAAAAAAAGGUCCACGGGCAGUGUCUAGAACGCCCAAAAGGAAGAACUCUGCGAUUCAGAAGAAGAAAGCUUAUCUCUUCGAAACAAAACCUCGUAAUUUGGGCGGAGUUGAAGAGGAGAGUCGCCAGCGAAGAAAGGAGCAAGACAUCUGCGCGUUCGCUUUGAUCUGCGAUCCAAGCGAGGUCAAGAAGACAUGGCGACGAAUAAGUCGGCAACGGUAGUGGGCCAGGAGAGAUCCAAGGAGGGAUGUGAGUUGAAGAGAGGAAUGGUAGGAAGGAAGGGGGAGAGAGUCGCGGCCGUAACUCCACGGGUAGGAACUUCGAAUCUUCUUUCGGCGUGCCUAUGGUAGGCCUGUCGAGAAAGGCCUAUUUGGGCCGCCAAUUGAAAUAUCCUGGUCCAUUGUACACAAACUAGUUCUUCUGCACGUGCAUAACACGUGUCCAUACACACGAAGUAACCCGCAGCAGAUUUGCUCUUUCGGAUAAACCGGCUCUUUUGCACGUGCAGUACACGUGAGAAUAUAAUUAAGGCAAGAUUAUAUUAUAUAGCAGAGCAAACUCAAUUAGUUAUACUAAUGCAUUUAAUUUCCAUUAGCCACUGCCCAAUAAAAACUCGUUAUGAUAUUAAAAAUAUUUUAGAUAUUUAUUUUUGCAUGUAUUUGAAAAAUGAUUAACGUCGAUGAUCUAAGACGGAUGUUAAUGUAAAUGGCACAUGCAAAACGUUUUAGUGUUUGAAGAGGCUGUCAAAUAUGCUAAUUUCAGAAAUUACUUGAAAGUCAAAGAUCACAUUUUUCCUUACAUUUGGGGUCAAUCUAAAAUAUGCAACAAUUUUCUUAUUCGCACAAAUAAAUGUAAAUAAAAUCCUUCAGUCAAAAUAGAUUAUUUCAUGGAAGGACUUAACGCAAAUAACAAAAGAAAAAUGGCCGAAAUGUAAACUAACAACACACCGAUAGCAAAAGCAAGAAAACGAUAUAAAAAAGGAGUCGAACAGUGUCAGAGAAAGCAUCCAGCCAUUCAAUGCGAUUGCCUUGAUCAAUGAGGAAAAGGUUGCGGUCAUCACCUCUCAUCCAAAAGGGUCUCAGUACUGCCCGCAAUUAGUUCCUGUUUUGGUGGUCCAUGGAGAAAACCUUCCUGUAUGUUUUAGCUCAUUAUGUGAAGGAGAACGACAGGAAAGAAGAUACAAACCGUGCAUCUGUGUGAUACCGUCAGGUUAACACUCAGAGCCACAGUGACUUCCUAGUUGGAAAGAUACGUGAACAGUAACAGGACAACGACAAUGGAGGGAGGAAGAAAAGCCUAAGUCCAUGAGUAGAAAACUGGAAGCUUGAUAUGAGACAGAUAGUGAAAGCAAGUAAUAUGGUAGAGGUCUCAGAGCUGAACUCUGAAAAGCCCUGAGGCAGUGAUACUUUUACCUGGAGUAGGGGCCUUCCAUGAUCUGCUCUAGAAUAAAUCCAAGGGAUGGUGCAU
rnacentral:lncRNA from 1 species